rnacentral:misc_RNA from 1 species
GAUCUCCACCACUUUCUGCUGAGCCGCAGCGGCGCACCGCCCAUCGUCUUGUCGCUGUGUGUUUGUAUGUGUCCUUCUUCUCAUUCGUACUCGUGUCGCCGUCAUCCGUUUCACUCUUGUGCUUCUCCUGUUGGUUUUCCUUCUGCAAUCCCCACGGUCGCGUGCGUGGGCGUGUGGGGUGGGCCUUUGCGCUGGCGGACUCCCUCUCCGUGCACACGGCUUCUCACCCCUAAUUCUCUCCAUCCUCACAAGCGCGCGCGCGCACGCACACUUCCGUUCUUAAGUGCUCCACAUCGAAUGCACCGUCACACAUACACGCGCUCUACGGUAUAGGUAUCUGCACCUGUCUUGGCUUUCUAUCUCUCUCUCCUUACGUCGACACACACGAUCCAGCUCGGGCCCCCCUGCCAACCUCUGCCCAUACGCCCAUCACUGCCACACGUGUUGUUGACCGUAUCGCCCAUUCGCUUUCCCUUUCAUCUUGCGCAGCCAUUACCUUCUUACCUCACUCCCUCUUUACGCGUGUGCUUCCUCGUCUUUCUGACACACACACACACACACACACACACACACACACACACACAGACUUUGCAUAUCCACACCCCCAUGUGAUCACCCGUGUCCGUCCAUCUGUCUGUGUGUGUGUGUGUUUUGUGUACUCGUCUCUCGCGUGAACGCGCAGCCCCGGGCAACGCAAACCAACGUCCUUAGCUUCCCAUCAUGAGCGUCCCAAGCCCUCUCCCCCCCAAUGCCAAGUACGAUGAUCAGGGCAUCUACUUAUCGUUCAUCGCCGGCGGCAUCUUGCUCGUCGUGCUUGGUGGGUGCAUGGCAUUCCUCAGCUACACCCCCAUCCUGUGGAUCAAGCGGUUCUAUCGGCCGAACCAUACCGUAGAGCCAGCGCCGCUCACUAGAGCUGCCUCUGCGGCAGCCGUCGCGGCGGCGCGGCGUGUGACGCAGGGAGGCUUGCUCAAUGUACCGCCGCCGUCCUCGCCGCUGACUGAAAUCGUCUUCGCAGAGCACACGGUACACCCGCACGGCAGCCAUGGCCACUCCGUCACGCGACGCAAGCGGCUUGGCAUCAGCCUACCGUACCUCUCCACCUUCUUCGUGCGGCCUACGUGGCAAGACUGGAUCAGCAUCGAGGAGCCCUCGCUACGCGACCGCAAACACAGCGCCCUCUCGCCGGUGCACUACCAGACCCCCACGCUACCGACGCGGCAGACGAGCGAUCGGUCCUUCGUACCACUGCAGGCGCCGUCCUACCCCGCGCAUCGCCGCCGAAACGGGAGUCACGCUGCUCAACCAGGGUCACAGCGCUGCGGCCGAGACGGAGCCUCAGCCGCAGCGGGCUCCCCGGACUUCUCUCCCCGACACACGCCCUCAAUGCGGUCUUACGGCGCCCUGGAAGAGUCAUGGAGCCGGACGAGCUUACCCGGCACCUCAGACGGCACGACGGCGUCCUUGCAGGUGUUGCCCAAGACCGCCGUCGACCCCCUCGUCGCCGUCUACCUCUUCACCCUGAAGUUCUUCUUCUCCCUCAUGUUCCUCGGCGAACUCUUCACCGUGUGGAUCAUGGUGAUCGCGCAGAAAGAUAAUUACAUGGAGCACACCCUCAUCCAGCGCGACAUCCACGACUGCAAAAGUCAGGACAACAACGCGACGGGGUGCGAGUUGCGAAAGCCGUACUGCUACUACCGCGGCGACGGCCUCGGGUGUGGCGUAGUGGCGCUGCACGGCCUCUACGACUUGACGGUGCUGAACAUCAGCCCACGCAGCCAGCGGUGGAUGGGGGUGGGGAUGCUGAACCUCUGCUUCUGCGUAGUUCUCGUCUCCCUCACUCUCCUGUACCUCAAGAAAGUGGGGAAGUAUGCGGAGGCCGUGAUGGCGAACCAGAUGCGCCACGCGCUCGGCUACCGUGUCGUGUGCGUUCGCGGGCUCGACACGACCGACGUCCGCACCGACCGCGCAUUUCGGGAGGCAUUUCUUCGGCUCUCCGUCUACUUUCCGAACGCGUUGCCCUCCCCCUCCGCGUCGAGCUCGCUGGCGGCGACGGCGGCAACAAGCCCCGGCAGCGGAGCCCAGCGGCGGCGUGGCGGGGGCACGGGCAAUCCACCAGCGCGGCUCGACAACAGCAACGGCUUUGAUGGGGAGAGUGACAGUGAAGCCAGCUACGUUGUGUGCGACUGCCCAGGGCUUAACUGCCUCUUCUCCACCGCUGGCAUGCACUACUACGUGGUUCGCCGAUCCGACGCCGCCUUCACGGAGCCGGAGAGCGUGGAGCAGAUUUUGAUCACACGUGAACCGCCGCUCGGAACGCUUGAAAUCAUCGCAGACACGGAGGCGGCCAUGGCCAACUUGCAGGAAGCUAUCGCAGACGAGAAGGCGCUGCAGCGUCGCCUGACACUGCGGCACGAGACACGGGCAUCGGCCACGGUGGGGCGAGGCCGCCGCGGCCUCCGCAGUGCUCGGUUCUCUCCAGGGCGAACGGCAAGCGUGGUGGUGAGCAACGAGGAUAUCACCUUUGAAGACGUGGCAGCGAGGCACGACAGCCAUGCAGACGACGGGAGAGACGCCGUGUUGAUGAUGCGCGCCCCGUUUCCAGCCUGCUGCGACAAGAUGCCGGCCGUGCCGUACUACGAGGCCGUCUUCUUCCGCUGUGUGCGCGACAUGAACAUUGCGCUGGAGCGGGUGCCGCAGCAGCAAGUCGCCGGCGCUGCCUUCGUCGUCUUCAAGGACUCGCUGUGCGCACACGAGUUCACGCAGCUCUUCACGGCUCGCUUUGGGGGCCUCUUCUCGUCUUUGACCGCCACCAUCGCCGGGCCGCCGGGCCGCAUCUUCCAGAGCAGUCUCACCGCCGGCCGCUGCGCGCUCUGGUUGCGCUUCAUCCUCAUCUUUCUGCUGUACGUUGUCCUCCUCCUGACCUGGUCCAUCCCGAUCAGUAUCCUGGGCUCGCUGGAGCAGCUGUCGGAGAUUUCAAGCAUAGCGGUGCUGCGAAAGUACUCCGAACUGCCGAAGUGGAUGAGGUCGUUGAUCAAUGCCUACCUGCCCGUCGGCGCGCUCGCCCUCCUCAACAUUGCCCUGCCGCAUAUUAUUCGUUUCCUGGUCCGCGCGAUGGGCGCCUUCAACCGUGCCGAGUGCGAUGGCGGCCAGCUCUACAUGCAGUACGUCUUCAUGGUCGUCACGGCUGUCAUCUUUCAGGCCGCCUUCCAAGGUGCUGUGAGCCGCCUCGCAGACCUCCUCGCCAACUCCGACCAUGACGCCAUCAUCAACUUCUUCGUCUCCUGCAUUUCGCCCAGCAACGGCUACUUCUACGCCAAGGUCAUCACCGCCACGUGCCUCUCCACGUGGGUUGACCUGCUUGACCCGGUAGGGAUCCUGAAAGUGCUGCUCUUCCGCGGGCGGGCGCACGUCCAGCGCAACUACGACGCCCUCUUUCUCCCCUGCGAGUUCGAGUUCCCGCGGCUGCUCAGUUUCGACUUGAUGGUGCUAUCCAUGGGGCUUCUCUUCCACAUGACAGCGCCGCUGCUCGGCCUCCUCGUCGUCUGCUACUUCUUUGUGCGCUACUGGAGUCAGCGCGCAAAGCAGUGCGACCGCUAUCGCCCCACCCUGUCCCCCGCGCACGACUGCACCGACUUCGGCGUGGCGGCGCAGGUCAUCCGCUGCGUCAUGUGGUUGUACUGCUUUUCCGAGACGUGUGGCGUGCUCCUCAUGAGCCUCCGCGCCCACAAAGGCGGCGUCGUCAUGUGUUCGCUGGCGCUGGGCACAGGAGUGGGGCUGACGAUUUACGUCUACGUGCAGACCCGCAAGUGGACGGCGUCGCUGGCGAACGCGCGACACUUCGCACGGAAGGCCCAUCACUUCUACAGCCAGCACGCGGUGCAGCAGGCGACGUCGGCGCCGACAGUCACAACGCCGCUACGGGGGUUCCCGCCCAAGCACGCCGCAGAGGUGUCCGCCGGCAACGAAGGCACGAGCGUUCACGUAUCACCCCCAUCCUUGUCGGCUGGCGUUGCGGCCGCCGACGGCUUCCCCUCUCACGUGUACGCCGGCUCCGACAACCCGUACGAGAGCGAAGACGACGCAGCGGAGCAGCGACGCAGUCCCAACACCCGCAACAGCGCCGUGCAGGAGGAGGGUGCCCUCGACCGCUACGAGAACGUCACACUGCAGCAGGUUCUGUUCGACGCCACGCGGAACCCCUUCCUGAGCCACCUACUGCCCCGUAAGCCGGGGCUGACCAUGCGCUACCAGCCGAAGCACCAGCGGCUCGCGGUCAUCAACGCCGCGGCCGAGCUGCGAUCAAUGAAGAACACGGACUUCGUGGUGGAGCGGUACUGGGACCGUGGGAUGACAUGGUUUGAGGAGGAUGCGAGUGUGUACAGGGACCUCGACAUGGAGGACGAGUACGUCGGCGAGUACAGGUACGGUGACAUGGCGGAUCACGACAGCAGCGACGGCGGUGCCGCUGCACGAAGCCUACCUCGCAACGACAGCGACGACUUCAAUCAAGGCAGGGGCGAAGCGCCCCACUCAAUGCACACGCAGCUGAUGGACGGCCAUGAUGUAUCGCCAACUCAGGCCUCCGCCGCGGUGCCGCCAAGCGUGAACAGUAGGCUGCGUACGGCGGCCACCGUGUCCACGAGCGAUCUUUCCAGAGUCGUGCCGGACAACACUGGGCAGAAGAUGGCUGUUGUGGCGACGCCCAUGCCCGCGGUGGCCGCCACGGAAAACGCGCAAGACGGCGCGGCAAAUCAUAAGCUGACCUAUGCGAGCAUACCGACAGUGGUGACAGCUGCGCACACCCACGAGGGUAGCAGUGGCCCUCCGAGUCGCCGUCACGCCUCCACCCUGCCACCACCGCCGCCACUGCGCAGCUACGAGGAGCAGCGAGCCGAUGAUGAGCUGGCGCAGUCGCUGUUGCAGAUGCGCUUGCAAUCGAGUGGCCCAUCCUCGCCGCGCACGACGCUUGAGGGCAACGCUAUCCUCUGCGCCGCGACCGAGCCAGCCAUGUCCAACGACGAGCCACCGUCUCCGACGGUGUAGCUGAGGCGCCACGCCGGCGACGACACAGAAGAGGGGAGGAGGAAAGACGGCGAGAGGGAGCUUGUUUGUCUCGCCCGCCCCCGCCUUUCGUGUGUUUAGCCUAUGUGUUUGCCGUCGACUUCGAUAGAGGCGCAGCGCCUCUAUCGGGUCUCUCGCCCCCGCUCCCACCGCUGACCCCCCCCCCUUCUAGGUCGAGUGGGAGAGGCAUGCACUGUGUCUUUGUGUGCUGAUGUAGACGUAUAUGCUUGAAAGUGAACGGGAUGUUGUCCGCACAGCGAGCAAGCCACG